rnacentral:lncRNA from 1 species
ACUAGGUAGUGUUGAAGAUUGAACAAUUGAAUAUCUUCAAGGCUUCUUUGACUUGGUUUUCUUCAGAUGUCGAGAUUGGUUUAGUGUAAACCAAUCCGAGAAUUGCCUCCUUCAAUUGUCUUGUCUUUGAUCUGGUUAUUGGCCCAUUGGAGAAAGAGAAUGGGUCUCGUGCUGAGUUAAAUCCAAUUGAACUCCCAUCCAGCUCCUUGUAUCCAAUUGUAGUGUUCGUCUCAUCCAGCUCCUCUUCACUGUCACUCUCUUCCAGCUCUUCAUGCGCAAGAUCAGCUACUGGUUCAGUCAAGCUCACAUCA